rnacentral:rRNA from 1 species
GAGUUUGAUUCUGGCUCAGGAUGAACGCUAGCUACAGGCUUAACACAUGCAAGUCGAGGGGCAUCAUGGUAUUAGCUUGCUAAUACUGAUGGCGACCGGCGCACGGGUGAGUAACACGUAUCCAACCUGGCUUUCACUCAGGGAUAGCCCAUCGAAAGAUGGAUUAAUACUUGAUGGUAUAUACAUUUCGCAUGUUUUGUAUAUUAAAGAUUUAUCGGUGAUAGAUGGGGAUGCGUACCAUUAGUUUGUUGGGGGGGUAACGGCCCACCAAGACUUCGAUGGUUAGGGGUUCUGAGAGGAAGGUCCCCCACAUUGGAACUGAGACACGGUCCAAACUCCUACGGGAGGCAGCAGUGAGGAAUAUUGGUCAAUGGACGUAAGUCUGAACCAGCCAAGUAGCGUGAAGGAUGACUGCCCUCUGGGUUGUAAACUUCUUUUAUAUGUGAAUAAAUUUUCCUACGUGUAGGUUUNUG